rnacentral:rRNA from 1 species
ACGAACGCUGGCGGCGUGCUUAACACCUGCAAGUCGAACGGAAAGGCCCUGCUUUUGUGGGGUGCUCGAGUGGCGAACGGGUGAGUAACACGUGAGUAACCUGCCCUUGACUUUGGGAUAACUUCAGGAAACUGGGGCUAAUACCGGAUAGGAGCUCCUGCUGCAUGGUGGGGGUUGGAAAGUUUCGGCGGUUGGGGAUGGACUCGCGGCUUAUCAGCUUGUUGGUGGGGUAGUGGCUUACCAAGGCUUUGACGGGUAGCCGGCCUGAGAGGGUGACCGGCCACCAUGGGACUGAGAUACGGCCCAGACUCCUACGGGAGGCAGCAGUGGGGAAUAUUGCACAAUGGGCGGAAGCCUGAUGCAGCAACGCCGCGUGCGGGAUGACGGCCUUCGGGUUGUAAACCGCUUUCGCAGGUGACGAAGCGUGAGUGACGGUAAUGGGUAAAGAAGCACCGGCUAACUACGUG